AUUGAACGCUGGCGGCAUGCCUUACACAUGCAAGUCGAACGGCAGCGGGGGAGAAGCUUGCUUUUCCUGCCGGCGAGUGGCGAACGGGUGAGUAAUACAUCGGAACGUGCCCUGUAGUGGGGGAUAACUAGUCGAAAGAUUAGCUAAUACCGCAUCCGACCUGAGGGUGAAAGUGGGGGACCCCAAGGCCUCAUGCUAUAGGAGCGGCCGAUGUCUGAGUAGCUAGUUGGUGGGGUAAAGGCCUACCAAGGCGACGAUCAGUAGCUGGUCUGAGAGGACGAUCAGCCACACUGGGACUGAGACACGGCCCAGACUCCUACGGGAGGCAGCAGUGGGGAAUUUUGGACAAUGGGCGAAAGCCUGAUCCAGCAAUGCCGCGUGUGUGAAGAAGGCCUUCGGGUUGUAAAGCACUUUUGUCCGGAAAGAAAUGGCUCUGGUUAAUACCUGGGGUCGAUGACGGUACCGGAAGAAUAAGGACCGGCUAACUACGUGCCAGCCGCCGCGGUAA
rnacentral:rRNA from 1 species